rnacentral:rRNA from 1 species
UACGUAGGGACCAAGCGUUGUUCGGAUUUACUGGGCGUAAAGGGCGCGUAGGCGGCAAUUCAAGUCACUUGUGAAAUCUCUGAGCUUAACUCAGAACGGUCAAGUGAUACUGCUUUGCUAGAGUGCAGAAGGGGCAACCGGAAUUCUUGGUGUAGCGGUGAAAUGCGUAGAUAUCAAGAGGAACACCGGAGGCGAAGACGGGUUGCUGGGCUGACACUGACGCUGAGGCGACGAAAGCUAGGGUAGCAAACGGG